GAUGAACGCUGGCGGCGUGCCUAAUACAUGCAAGUCGAGCGAAUGGAUUAAGAGCUUGCUCUUAUGAAGUUAGCGGCGGACGGGUGAGUAACACGUGGGUAACCUGCCCAUAAGACUGGGAUAACUCCGGGAAACCGGGGCUAAUACCGGAUAACAUUUUGAACCGCAUGGUUCGAAAUUGAAAGGCGGCUUCGGCUGUCACUUAUGGAUGGACCCGCGUCGCAUUAGCUAGUUGGUGAGGUAACGGCUCACCAAGGCAACGAUGCGUAGCCGACCUGAGAGGGUGAUCGGCCACACCGGGACUGAGACACGGCCCAGACUCCUACGGGAGGCAGCAGUAGGGAAUCUUCCGCAAUGGACGAAAGCCUGACGGAGCAACGCCGCGUGAGUGAUGAAGGCUUUCGGGUCGUAAAACUCUGUUGUUAGGGAAGAACAAGUGCUAGUUGAAUAAGCUGGCACCUUGACGGUACCUAACCAGAAAGCCACGGCUAACUACGUGCCAGCCGCCGCGGUAA
rnacentral:rRNA from 1 species